UACGGAGGGUGCAAGCGUUAUCCGGAUUUAUUGGGUUUAAAGGGUCCGUAGGCGGACUCGUAAGUCAGUGGUGAAAUCUCAUAGCUUAACUAUGAAACUGCCAUUGAUACUGCGGGUCUUGAGUAAAGUAGAAGUGGCUGGAAUAAGUAGUGUAGCGGUGAAAUGCAUAGAUAUUACUUAGAACACCAAUUGCGAAGGCAGGUCACUAUGUUUUAACUGACGCUGAUGGACGAAAGCGUGGGGAGCGAACAGGG
rnacentral:rRNA from 1 species